ensembl:lncRNA
CCUUAUCCAUUCAGCUGUUGAUGGAAAUACAGAUUGUUUCCAUGUCUUGGCAAUUGUAAAUAAUGUAGCUGCGAACACUGAGGUGUGUCAGUCUUUUAGAAUAUGUCUUUUUGGUUUUUUUUUUCAGAUAUGUACCAAGGAAAGGAAUUGCUGGGUCAUAUGGUAGUUCUAUUGUUAGUUCUUUGAGAAAUCUCCAUACUGUUCUCCACAGUGACUGCACCAAUUCACAUUCUUAACAACCAGUGUACAAGGAUUCCCUUCACAUCCUGGCCAACAUUUAUGAUUUGUGUUCUUUUUGAAGAUAGCCACUCUGACAGGAUGCUUUUCAAGCACAGACUAAGGCAACUGGGGAAAUACCAGGAAGCUCCUUUACUCUCCUUUUCCUGAUUCCUAUUCCUGUGACCGAAGGCAUGACUGGAAAAGAAUGCAACCAUGCCUUGAGAGCUGGAAGAAAGGGGCAGCCUUGAAGACAAUACUCUGUGGACAGAUCCCUGAGCUUUCCUGCAGUUGUGUAGGAAGAGGGCAUCAGUGGCUUCACUUGGUUUAACAGUCACAGCCUUAGACAAGAAACAAAUGUAAAAAUACGGAAGACAGGCACACGUAGACCAAGAGAAGGAGAGAGAAACAGCCCCUUGCUUCACUUGAUCCACAUCUGGUGUUAGAAGGCUUCAGACAACAAAGACACAAUUCUCAAUCUAGGUUCUUGAUGCAUGCCUUUUAAGACUAGUUAAAGCCCAACAGUUUACCCUGGUUUUGCAUUUCUGCUUCUUAGUAUGGUAAAGGCAUCUGCCCAUGUCAGUAGUUCCGGAGGAUGAUUUCUUCAAGUUCUGUAAUUGUAUUGCCGUGAGAGAUGAAGAAGGAACAUACAUCAAAGAUGUCUGUGAAGGGCACAUGUGGUGAUAAAGCAAAAUAAAAUUGUCUACUGUUCACGUA